UACGGAGGGGACUAGCGUUGUUCGGAAUUACUGGGCGUAAAGCGCACGUAGGCGGACGCUUAAGUCAGAGGUGAAAUCCCGGGGCUCAACCCCGGAACUGCCUUUGAUACUGGGUGUCUCGAGUCCGGAAGAGGUGAGUGGAAUUCCGAGUGUAGAGGUGAAAUUCGUAGAUAUUCGGAGGAACACCAGUGGCGAAGGCGGCUCACUGGUCCGGAACUGACGCUGAGGUGCGAAAGCGUGGGGAGCAAACAGG
rnacentral:misc_RNA from 1 species